AAAAAAAAAAAAAAAAAAAGAGGCCAUGGCUGCAGUUAGUGCUUUCACUCUUCUCCGGAAUCGUGGAAUUAGUACAAGGGCAUUCUCAAAUGUGAAAUCUUCCCCAAGACCCAUCUCUUAUAUCAACUACAAAUUCCUUCUUUCUAUUCAGUCUCGCAGGUCUCUGUUUCGCACUACUGUGAUUAAUGAUGAAGAGGCAUCUGCCCAAGAAGCUGCAGCCAGUGCUGAGAGUGGAGCUCCAACCAUUUUUGACAAGAUCAUAGCAAAGGAAAUACCUUCGUCCAUUGUAUAUGAGGAUGACAGAGUCCUUGCUUUUCGGGAUGUUAAUCCUCAGGCUCCUGUUCAUGUUUUAGUCGUUCCAAAGUUCAGGGAUGGAUUGACACAACUUGGGAAGGCUGAAAGAAGGCACAGGGAGAUCCUAGGUGAACUUCUCUAUGCUGCCAAAAUAGUGGCUGAAAAAGAAGGCAUCCUUGAUGGCUGUCGUGUUGUUAUCAACAACGGUCCCAGUGCUUGUCAAUCUGUUUAUCAUCUGCACUUGCACGUCCUUGGGGGCAGGCAAAUGAAAUGGCCACCUGGUUAAAGAUUUUUAAGCAAACUCGUUGAAGCCUGAUUAUAUCAUUUUCUCCUCUUUAUUUUCUCUUUAAGCCUUCAAUAUUGUGAACAACUUACCAGUUUUAAUGCAUCUUUUUGAGCAUUGUGACGAGAUGGCACUAUUCCUAUAAGUUGUAGCCUGCACUAGCGGCUUUUCUCGAGUUUAGUUCUUUGGAGUUGCAAUUUAGCUGUUAUUUCUAUGAGGCUUUUCUUGUUGUUUUCCGGGUUGCAUUUUAAACUGUGG
rnacentral:misc_RNA from 1 species